UACGGAGGGUGCAAGCGUUAUCCGGAUUCACUGGGUUUAAAGGGUGCGUAGGCGGGUUGGUAAGUCAGUGGUGAAAUCUUCAAGCUUAACUUGGAAACUGCCGUUGAUACUAUCAAUCUUGAAUAUUGUGGAGGUAAGCGGAAUAUGUCAUGUAGCGGUGAAAUGCUUAGAUAUGACAUAGAACACCAAUUGCGAAGGCAGCUCACUACACGAAUAUUGACACUGAGGCACGAAAGCGUGGGGAUCAAACAGG
rnacentral:rRNA from 1 species